AAAGUCGUAACAAGGUUUCCGUAGGUGAACCUGCGGAAGGAUCAUUAAUGCUUAGCAUAAGCAGAAGCGUCUUUUGAUGCCCUGCUCAAUGCAUCGCCUUAUUCCAAACUCUCGAAGCUUUUUUUCUCUUGGAAAAAAGUCUUCGACGUCACAAGUAACUUGAGGACGUUUCUCUUUGGAGAGAUGUUCCUCUACCUUUUAUUACCAUCAUUACCCUACUUAAACUUAUUAGACUGAUAUCACAAAACAUUUAUUUCUGAUAAAUGGAAAAAACAACUCUUAGCAAUGGAUAUCUAGGCUCUC
rnacentral:misc_RNA from 1 species